rnacentral:rRNA from 1 species
AUGUCCGCCAGGGACGACGCCGCCGGCCAAGACAACAUGGCGGCGGCCGAGGGGGCGUCGGCAGUGGUGUUCGUGGGCAGCUCGCGGCGGCGGCACGUCAUCAGCGCCAGGCACCUCCGCCACCCGCUGAUCGCCGCGCUCAUCGACGACGACGCCGGCGAUGGCGACAUGAGGAAUAGCAAGGAGCCGGUGGCCGUGAGGUGCGAGGUCGUGCUGUUCGACCACCUGCUCUGGAUGCUUGACAACGCCGUUGACCUCCGCGCGGGCGCCGGCGGCGAGGACGACGCCGUCAGGGAGCUGGCCCAGCUCUACGCCACGUGCUAG